AGUGUUCGCUUCACUUUCCUUUUAGGUCUUAGUUCAGUGUGGUCACACAGUUGAUCCGAAGUCACAUCCCAGCAAUUUAAAUUCCUACAACUCUUAGGCUCAUAUAGUUUGACGUUAUCAAAGGAAGGUCAACAUGAUUAAUUUUCUCUUUUUUUGUUGCCUAACAGGUGUCUGUGUGGGUAUUGAGGUCCGUCAGUUUCCCUCUGAGUUUAUCACAAAUGUUGGAUCCAAAGUGGAGAUUUUCUGUAGCCAUAAAAAGACUGACUACAGGAUGAUGCUGUGGUACCAGCAGCUGCCUGGAGACACAGCUAUGAAACUCAUUGGGUAUUUGUACUACAAAGAUGACAAAUUUGAAGACCAAUAUAAAGAUCAUUUCAAUAUCACUGGAGAUUUAAGUGGGAAUACAGCAAAGAACGGCUCUCUGAUAGUCAAAGUUGCACAACAAGAGCACAGUGCAGUGUACUACUGUGCAGCGAGAGAAGCACAGUGACAAAAAGCUCCUCUGAACACUACAAAAACUACACAGCCUUGAAUCAGUGGUUUGACACAAGUAUAGGGAAUAAACUGAUCUCAGACACCUGCUUUUGUGGUUUCUGUUUUCAAUUGAUGUUAUCGU